rnacentral:lncRNA from 1 species
UUCAUUUCAAUGUUUUAUUUAUUUAUUUUUAAUUAUGAGUCAAAGUUGGGCAAGUGGGAGUAAAGGGGUGUUGGGGUGGACCGAGUCUUGUGGGAAGACUUAGUUUUUCCUUUUUCUUUGGGAUUUGAUCAAUAAGUUAGUUGCAGUUUGUAUUUGAUUAUUAUUUAUAAGCCAUGUAAUACAUGAAUAAGGAUUAUGCAAUUAUUUGAUAUUUAACUCACUUGAGUUGCUGAGGUCAAGGUUCCUCCAUUAACCUUAAAUCCUUAGUUUCAAUUCUCUACAUCAUAGGUUCCAAUAAAAAUAAAAGAUACAAUCCCCAGUACGUGCCACACACUGCCGAUGCUCGUAGCGUAAAGCCGUUCACCCCAUGCCGUUCGCUUCCAAACUAGCUCGUCUCUUGACUCUUUUCCAUUUCUGCCUAGCUUUUGAUCCACCCGAUCCAUCAACUUAUUAACAUCAAGGUCAGUAAUUAUUUGAUCUUAAGCUCUCUUGCAUGCUAAUGCCAUAUUAUAAUUCUGCCAAUUGCCAAUUUGUUAAGCUAUCAAUCAAUUAUCAAAGCAAUUACCAUUUAGUUGUAAAUAGUGCUUAUUUUUUAAGCAAAUUUCCUCCAAAUGCUUUCUUUAUUUAAGUGUAUAAUUAACUAUAAGUAGCUGUUACUAAAUGUGAGUAACCCAGGCGUGCCAAUACAAUUCAAUUGAAACCAUUUUUUUUAAUCAUGUGUUGAUUUUACAACAUUAUUAUUAUUAUUAUUAUUAUUAUUAUUAUUAGCAACAAAUGAGUCAUAACUAUGCUAUUUGUUUUAGUAUUUAUAUGUUUGUAUGAUGAACAGAAUAGUUAAUUUUGACAUUAAUUAAUUUGCAUGUAAAGAAUAAUAAACUUAAUUGUUUAAUUUAACUCGACGCCAUUAAUCAGUUACACAAUUAAGGUAUAGUCAUAGUGCAAAUAUGGUACUAGUAAUAUUGAAAAUACACAAUAUCAAGACAUAUUGAGUGAUUCUUCUAAAUGUCAAUUAAUUUCUUUUUUUUUAUCUCUUUGUAGAAUGGACUGAUUUGCUUCAUUUUCUAUCCGUUGUUGCUUGAUUCGAUUGGUGGUGGUUAAUUAUUGCUAAUUUGGAGGUGUUGUCUUGGUGUUGAUGCCUUGAUGGUGUGAGAGAUGGAUUAUUAAUGUUGUUUGUCAUGUGGAGAUGUGUUAAUGGAGAUGAAAUUAUUAAUCAUGGUUGCCAUUUUGUUUUUUAGAUUUGUGAUUUCAAUAGCUUUAUUAUACUUGACUACAUGUUUUAUGUCUUGUUAACUUUAAAAAGACUUGUUGAAAUAUUGUUAAGGAUGCUUGGUAGUUGAUAUUUGUUGUUAAGGAUGUUUCAAUUUGAGAUUUUGGGAUUUUAG